UACAGAGGGGGCAAGCGUUGUUCGGAAUUACUGGGCGUAAAGGGCGCGUAGGCGGCCUUCUAAGUCGAACGUGAAAUCCCUGGGCUCAACCCAGGAACUGCGUCCGAUACUGGAAGGCUUGAACCCGGGAGAGGGAUGUGGAAUUCCAGGUGUAGCGGUGAAAUGCGUAGAUAUCUGGAGGAACACCGGUGGCGAAGGCGGCAUCCUGGACCGGCAUUGACGCUGAGGCGCGAAAGCUAGGGGAGCAAACGGG
rnacentral:rRNA from 1 species